rnacentral:lncRNA from 1 species
AUGUCACCAGCCAUCAGUAAGUCAAGGGACCCAAAAUGUAGCUCGGAGCGUGGCACAGAUAGAGAGUCACCUGCAACACAUGGUGCAAAGAAAAAGAAGAAAAGGAUACAGAAGAACGAGACAGAAAACCAGCACAACUUAAUGGGUCUCAAUACUCCUGUGUCAUCAGUUCCAGCUGAUGGGGUUGAAAAUGAACCUGCAGCCCGCGGGGUGGAAUUGAAGAAGAAGAAAAAGGCAGUGAAAGGCUCCAACUUAAGCACAAAUGGAAAGACAAAUACUGCCUUCGAGCCUGAAUGCCGUGACGAAUAAUCAUAAUUUAAUUGUAAAUACUGGUGUGGUAUUCGGUUUAGGAGUUGAAGGCAGCACCUACGAUCUCACUUCUAGGAUUAACAAGACACAAAGAAGUUAAACUACUCAAAUAUGCAAAAUGACACCAAAGUUGUGACUUUCCCAGUGGUGUAAACCCGUUUUGGAAGACCUUUGCCCUGUGUUCUGUGAAAUCAACAGAACUUGACUGUUCAGCUCCUCCAUGGACUGGGAAAAUCUGAAAACUCUUUUCAUAUUUCACAAGAACCCCACUGACAAAUGCAAAGUUAACCAGUUUAAUAUCUGAUUACACCUUAACUUAGGCUAAACAGGCAUUUCUGUGGACUGUAGAUCCAUUGGGAGCAGAGAAUCAGGUGAAAAAGCGUGAUAUAGAGCGAAAACAAGCCCGACCACUGUGUAAGUUAUUAAAUUAGCAUUUUAAAAUGUAUUGUAAGUAAAAUAGGGGAGUGGUAAAAUUCCAAAGGAACGCUGACAUUACAGUGUACCUGAAAAAAAAAAAAAAGCUUAUUUUAAAAAAUAUUUUCCUGACAUGAAAUAUUCACUUGGGACUGCAUUUUGCAGCUCUGCAGCGAAUUGUUGAGUAACUACCUGUGCAGCUACACUGUCUGCAGUGGGACUGCUCACGCUCACCAAUGUAAAUAACUGGUUUCAUUCCAGGCAGUUAUGUUUUUCAAAUGAGGUUUUCUCAGAGUUUUGUCAGGGUUCCUGGCUGCUUUGGCAGCAAUCUUGCCAAAUACACUUUCUUUUGUCUGGAUGAAAUAUUUCAUAUCCAACUGUGCUGUUUGUUUUACUUGUAGUUCUUAUUCACUUUUAAGUGUCAUUCAUCUUUUUUUUUUUUUAUUACUUGAGUAUUACGUUGUGAACUUUUCCUAAUGACUUGGCUAAUUAUCUACAGUGCUAAAUAAUUUCUGGUUUAUAUUAAAGGAAACACUUUCUAUCAGUUACUUUUGGUAUUUUUUUUUCUGGCUGAUGAUGUCCAGUUUAUUUUUACUCUGCUAGGAAAUUCUUCCUCCUCCCCCUCUGAAGCAAUAAAUAACAUAAAAUUAGAAAGCCCUUAUUUAGU